GGUCGAGCGGACAGAAGGGAGCUUGCUCCCGGAUGUUAGCGGCGGACGGGUGAGUAACACGUGGGUAACCUGCCUGUAAGACUGGGAUAACUCCGGGAAACCGGAGCUAAUACCGGAUAGUUCCUUGAACCGCAUGGUUCAAGGAUGAAAGACGGUUUCGGCUGUCACUUACAGAUGGACCCGCGGCGCAUUAGCUAGUUGGUGAGGUAACGGCUCACCAAGGCGACGAUGCGUAGCCGACCUGAGAGGGUGAUCGGCCACACUGGGACUGAGACACGGCCCAGACUCCUACGGGAGGCAGCAGUAGGGAAUCUUCCGCAAUGGACGAAAGUCUGACGGAGCAACGCCGCGUGAGUGAUGAAGGUUUUCGGAUCGUAAAGCUCUGUUGUUAGGGAAGAACAAGUGCAAGAGUAACUGCUUGCACCUUGACGGUACCUAACCAGAAAGCCACGGCUAACUACGUGCCAGCAGCCGCGGUAAUACGUAGGUGGCAAGCGUUGUCCGGAAUUAUUGGGCGUAAAGGGCUCGCAGGCGGUUUCUUAAGUCUGAUGUGAAAGCCCCCGGCUCAACCGGGGAGGGUCAUUGGAAACUGGGAAACUUGAGUGCAGAAGAGGAGAGUGGAAUUCCACGUGUAGCGGUGAAAUGCGUAGAGAUGUGGAGGAACACCAGUGGCGAAGGCGACUCUCUGGUCUGUAACUGACGCUAAGGAGCGAAAGCGUGGGGAGCGAACAGGAUUAGAUACCCUGGUAGUCCACGCCGUAAACGAUGAGUGCUAAGUGUUAGGGGGUUUCCGCCCCUUAGUGCUGCAGCUAACGCAUUAAGCACUCCCCCUGGGGAAUACGGUCCCAAGACUGAAACUCAAAGGAAUUGACGGGGGCCCCCACAACCGGUGGAACCUGUGGUUUAAUUCAAAACCACCGCGAAAAACCUUACCAGGUCUUGACUUCCUCUGAAAACCCUAAAAAUAGGGCUUUCCCUUCGGGAACAA
rnacentral:rRNA from 1 species